rnacentral:lncRNA from 1 species
CUGAAUUCUACAUGCCUGUGCUCAGUGGCUUUCAACGUCUCAACCAGCAAGGUCCACAGUGAUGUCAGAUUCAAACCCAUUAUUUGUGCUUCUUCAAACCUGCUCCACCUGAAUCUCCUAUCCUGGCUGAUGGCGCUGUCAUCUGUUUAGACAUACUUGCCAGAAACCUAGGAGGGAGUCUCAUUUCCCUCUACUCCCAUGCUGUUUCCAUCACUCCUCCUCAUUAUUCCUCCUCAUGAUUCCUACUCUUGGUCCUCUGUCGCACCACUCACCCCUGCUUGUGAUUAGGCCCUCGCCAUUUCUCUUGUGGUCCAUUGUAGGAAUAUGCCAGCUGGUCUCCCUACCCUCUAGUCCUGCCCAAUUCUAAGCAUCCUCUACUCUGAAUUGCAGACCUGGCCAUGGCACAGGUGGUUGGCAACCCAUUGUCUUGACGAAGCAAGCCAAGUUCCCUAGCGUGGCAUCCAGUGUGCUCCUUUUCUCUCUAAUUUUCUCUCCUGCUCCUUCUAGUCUGUAUGCUUCAGCCAUUCCAUCAUCCCUUUUGCAACAGGAUUUUUUUUUUUUUUUUGGAGACAGGGUCUCACUCUGUUGUUCAGGCCAAAGUGAAGUGGUGUGAUCACGGUUCACUGCAACCUCAAACUCCUGGGCUCAAUCGAGCCUCCCACCUUAGCCACCCAAAGUACUGGAAUUACAGGCUUGAGCCACAGUAGCUGGUAAGAAUAAUUUUUCAUAUAUUAACUUCUGUGUUUUUCCUUAGAGUUCUCUCUUUCUUCUUCUCCUUAUAAGAAUGCACCCAGGCAUUCUGCUUGUCUCAGGAGGUUGUUGGCAGAGUGGAAAGCAGAAGUUGUCUGCAAGACAUUUCCUUCCUGUCUUUUAUUUCCAAAACACUAUGCUCAGUGAGGAACCUGUCUCAGUCAAGGGGGAGAGGGCCAGGGAGAAGGCAUAUCUUUGAGGGAAUCUGGAAAGCAGAGAAGGAUUUUCUCUAGAAUAAGAAUCAAGUAUCCCCGACCUGGAGUUGGAAGGAGGUGGUCCUAUGCCCUCCUGUCUGGCAGCUCCCAGGGGAGGUGAUUCAACCUUAGAAAAAUAGCUUUGUUAUUCCCAGCUUCUGCAUCUCUUUCUCUGUGAGGACAGAGAAUAGCUAGCAUUUUCUGUACCAUCACUGUGUGCCCAGCUCUUCUAGUAAUUCAACUUCUAUCAUUAACACCAGUUUACAGAGGAAGGAACUACGGCACAGAGAUGUUGGGUAACUUGCCUCAGAUCUCACAACUCGUCAGCAGUGUUGAUAGAAUUUGCCUCCAGCCCUCCUUGACUCCUAAACCCAUAUUUUUUUCUUCUCUUUCUAAAAAAGUUAUUAUUUAGCCAUCAAAUGAAUGAACCAAAACUAUUUUUUUUAAUUUAUUUUUAGUAGAGAUGGGGUUUUGCCAUGUUGCCCAGGCUGGUCUCGAAAUACUGGCCUCAAAUGAUCCGCCCACCUCAGCCUCCCAAAGUGCUGGGAUUACAGGCAUGAGCCACCAGGCCCAGCAUAAACCUGUAUUUUUAACUACCUCCCACCACCUUCCCUCAAUUGCCCUACUGCCCUACCCCAGUCGAUGUAUUUUUUCUUAUGCCUCUAGUCCACCUUGCACAGAUCACAAUUAUAGUACUUAUUAUACACAUAGUAGGUGCUGAGUAAAUACGUGAUGAAAAAUAAGUGAAGAUUUCUAUUUCAUCUGAUAGGCUCAGCUGGGUGUCUAGACCAACUUUCCCUCACUGAAAACAAAAACAAAAAUACUGGGCAAAAUAAUAAAAAUAUAUUCUGGAAGGCAUCUAUAAACUGGCAAGAAAUUAAGAAAUUGCCCCAGGACAGGGUGAAGGUCAGAACCCAGAGAGGUAAGCCGAGCCCAAAGUCAGCAUAUGCCUGGAGGAUUUUUGCUGAAUCUAGUGAGUUUGAACGUUGAUUUUUGAAGCCUUGGGAGUUUUGUGCAGCAGAAGUAAAGGUUAGCAUGUACUUUAAGUAGGGAGAUUAAUAGAAGACCCAAUAAAUACAGAAUUGCAAAAGCAAAAUAGUAGAAUAAGAAAAAAAAUUACUUCUCAAGCCGACCCAGAAACCUCACUAAAGCUGGUAACAUAUGAACAUAUAAAACACAUAUAGGCCGGGUGCAGUGGCUCACACCUGUAAUCCCAGCACUUUGGGAGGCCGAGACAGGCCGAUCACUUGAGGUCAGGAGUUCGAGGCUAGCCUGGCCAACAUGGUGAAACCCGUCUCUACUAAAAACACAAAAAUUAGCCAGGUGUGGUGGCGCACAACUGUAGUCCCAGCUACUCAGGAGGCUGAGGUAGGAGAAUCACUUGAACCCAAGACACAGAGGCAGUGAGCCAAGAUGGGGCCACUGCACUCCAGCCUGAGCAACAGAGCUAGACUUCAUCUCAAAAACUAAAUAAAUAAAUAAAUAAAAUAAAUAAAGCAAGUCUUAACAAAUCUGAAAAUUUUGAAUGCAUUGGCCAGACGCAGUGGCUCACAACUGUAAUCCCAGCACUUCAGGAAACCAAAUCAGGAAGAUAGCUUGAGCUUGGGAGGAUUGCUUGAGCUCAGGAGUUUGAGACCAGCCUGAGCAACAUAGAGAGACCUCAUCUCUACUAAAAAUGUAAUAAAUUAGCUGGCUGUGGUAGCGUGUGCCUGUAGUCCCAGCUACUCGGGAAGAUGAGGUGGGAGGAUUGAUUGAGCCUAAGAGGUCAAGGUCGCAGUGAGCCCAGAUUGUACCACUGCACUCCAGCCUGGGCAAUAGAGCACGACCCUGUCUCAAGAAGAAUGAAAGAGAGAGAGAAAAGAAAGAAAGGAAAAUGUUUAUCAUACAGACUAUAUCCUCUGAACACAAUGCAAUUAAGACAAGAAUCGGCCGGGCCCAGUGGCUCACGCCUGUAAUCCCAGCACUUUGGGAGGCCGAGGCGGGCAGAUCACGAGGUCAGGAGAUCGAGACUAUCCUGGCUAACACGGUGAAAUCUCGUCUCUACUAAAAAUACCAAAAAAAAAAAAAAUUAGCCGGGCAUGGUGGCAGGCGCCUGUAGUCCCGCUACUUGGGAGGCUGAGGCAGAAGAAUGGUGUGAACCCAGGAGGCAGAGCUUGCAGUGAGCCGAGAUUGCGCCACUGCACUUCAGCCUGGGCAACAGAGCGAGACUCCGUCUUAAAAAAAAAAAAAAAAAAAAGACAAGAAUCAAUUUUUUUAAGAAGUAACUAGAAAAACCUAUUUGUUUGGAAAUUCAUGAGCCAAUGAACAGCACUAUGGGAAUGUGACAACAUUUAAAUGCUAUAUAUCAAAUAUUUGAUACUAUGUAUGAAAAUAUGAGGGAUAAAACUGAGCAAGUUGUUAAGGGGAAACUUAUAGACUAAAAGCUUAUAUUACAAGAGAAAAUUGUUUGAAAUGUAAAGAGCUAAAAAGUUAAAAAAGAACAGGAAAUUAAAGUCAUAUAGAAGAAAGGAAAUAAUAAAGAUAAAAUUUUAAAAAUAAUAAAAUUGAAAGCAAACAUGCAAUAGAAAGAACCAACUAAGCCAAACACUGCAUUCAAACUUCUGGUGAAAAAUGAUCAGGGAAAAAGGAGAAGGCACAACACACAAUGUGAAGCAUAAAGGGAAAGCUAUAAUCACACAUGAUGUGGAACUUAACAAAGGUAAAAGAACUUUGUGAAAUUCCAAGAAGCGUAAAUUAAUAAAACUGAAACUCGUAACUGUCCAAGAACUUGAAUCUGUUGUUAAAUAUUUUCUGCAAAGAAAAAUCUAGCUAAAACAGUUUGCCAGUGAUUUCUACCGAACAUUCCAGUAAUAAGUAAUUCCAAUCUCACACUCUAAAGUAUGGAAAAGGAGAGAUUAUCCCUCAACUCGCUUUAUGAAGCUGGCAUUGCCUUAUACCAAAAUCUGAUCAGGAGAGUGUCAGAAACAAAAAUCCCAGGCCAAAACACUCUUACAUAUAUAGACAUGAAAAGUCCUGAGCUGAAUUUCAACAAUGUGAAUCCAGCAAGGUAAUACAUUAUAACCAAACGGGCUUAUCCAAGAAUGCAAGGUUAGUUUAAAAUGAGAAAAUCAAUUAAUGUAAUUCACCACAUUAAAAGAUUAAAGGAAAAAAAAAUCCUAUGAUGAUCUCAGCAGGUUCAGAAAAAGCCUUUGAUCAAAUGGAGUAUCCAACCAGAUAAAAUUCAUAGGAAACUAGGAAUAUUUUCCUUGAAAAAAAGGGGAGAUUUACAAAAGUGUAUAGCAAAUAUCAUAAGUAAUCAUUGCUUUAAAAAAAAAAAUGAGGGGUCGGGUGCAGUAGCUCACGCCUGUAAUCCCAGCACUUUGGGAGGCUGAGGCAGGCAGAUCGCUUGCCCAAGAGUUUGAGAUCAGCCUGGGCAACAUGGCGAAACCCCAUCUCUACAAAAAAAAAAUUAGCCAGGCAUGGUAGAGCAUGCCUGUGGUCCCAGCUACUUGGGAGGCUGAGGCAGGAGGAUCAUUGCAGCCUGGAAGGCAGAGGUUGCAGUGAUUCAAGAUUACACCAUUGCACUUCAGCCUGGGUGGCAGAGUGAGACUGUGUCUCAAAAAAAAAAACAAAUAUUAAAAAUAAAAUAAAAUUUUAAAAUGAGGAACAUAAGUGUGCAGCCAUCUCCACUUCUAUUCAGUAUAGUACUAGAGGUUCUAAUAGUGGAAUAAGGUAAGACAAAGAAAUCAAAUAUGUAUGUAUUGGAAAGAAAGAAAUCACAAUGACAUGGUCGUAUGUGUACAAAAUUCAAAAGAAUGUAUACAUAACCUAUUGAAAUGAAUGUGAGAGUUUAGUAAUGUUGCUGGAUGCUAAAAUCAACAUGCAAAAUUGUUAGCAUUUGUAUAUACCAGUAAUAAACAGUUUGGAAUGAAAUUUUUUUAAAGAUACAUUUAGAAUAAUAUCAAAAAAUAAGCGACUGAGGAAUAAAUCUAACAAAAUAUGAGCAAGACCUUUAAUUUUUUAAUUCUUUUUUUUUUUUUUUUUUGAGACAGGGUCUCACUCUGUCACCUAGGCUGGAGUACAGUGGCACGAACACAGCUCACUACAGCCUCAACUUCUGGGCUCAAGGGAUCCUCCCACCUCAGCCUCCCAAGUAGCUGGGACCACAGGCUUGCAGCACCACAUUAAAAAAAUUUUUUCUAACUUGUUUAAAAAUUUUUGUGGUGACAGGCUGGGCGCGGUAUCACGCCUGUAAUCCCAGCACUUUGUGAGGCCAAGGCAGGUGGGUCAUUUGAGGUCAGGAGUUUGAGACCAGCCUGGCCAAUAUGGUGAGACCCCCCCCCCCCCGCGCCCCGCCUGUCUCUACUAAAAAUACAAAAAUUAGCUGGGAGUGGUGGCAAACACCUGUGGUCUCAGCUACUUGGGAGGCUGAGGCAGGGGAAUCGCUUGAACCUGGAAGAUGGAGGCUGCAGUGAACCAAGAUCGCACCACUGCACUCCAGCCUGGGCGACAGAGUGAGACUCCAUCUCAAAAAGAAAAAAAAAAAAUCUGUGGAGACAAGGGUCUCACUGUGUUACCCAGGCUGGUCUUGAACUAUUGGGCUUAAGUGACCCUCCUGCCUCAGCCUCCCAAAGUGCUGGGAUUACAAGCAUGAGCCACCAUGCCCAGCAAGACCUCCAUAAAGAGAAUUAAGAAGCUUCAGUGAAAAACUAUGAAGAAGACCUAGUUAGAAAAAUACCAUAUUUGGAGAUAGAUCCAAUCUCAUAAAAAUAUUAAUUCUCAAUAAAUUGAUCUAUGAAUUCAAUGCAAUUUCAUUCAAAAUAGAGGUUACUUCUUCAAAAGACUCUUGAAGAAAAACAGAGAGGGAGGAAUUACCUUUCUAUAUAUCAAAACUGUAGGAUGAAAGGCAGGGUCAUAUUAGUUCAGGGGCCAGUUAGACAAAUAGGCCAAUCAAAUGCAAUAGAAAUUCUCACCACACACACACAAAAAAGUAUGUGAGGUAAUGAAUAUGUUAAUCCGUUUGAUUUAGCUAUUCCACAAUGUAUGCAUGUAUCAACACAUCAUGUUGUACACCGUAAAUAUACGUAACUUUUGUCAGUUUAAUAAUUAGGCCAGGUACAGUGGCUCACACCUGUAAUCCCAGCACUUUGGGAAGCCAAGGUGGGAGGAUUGCUUGAGGCCAGGAGUUCAACGCUAGCCUAGACAAUGUGGGAAGACCCCAUCUCUAUUUUAAAAAAUAAAAAUAAAUAAAUAAGAAAAUAUGAAAAGUAAUUAUAUUUUUUAUUUUUUAAUAAAGUGAUUUUAAAAAAAAAGACAGGGUCUCACUAUGUUGCCCAGGCUGGUCUCGAACUUCUGGACUCAAGUGAUCUUCCUCCCUCGACCUCCCAAAGUGCUGGGAUUACAGGUGUGAGCCACCACACCUAGCCAUUUUUUUUAAAUGUAAGAAAAAGCUCAGAAAUAGGUUCAACACAUACAGACACUUGAUGUAUGGCAGAGGGGGCAAUUCAGAAUAUUGGGGAAAAGAUGGAUUUUUCAAUAAAUGGUUAGGAGGCAGUUGAUUAUUGUAUUCAUUUUCAUUGCUAUAACAAAAUACCACACUGGGUAAUUUAUAAAGAAAAUAAGUUUCUCUGGCUCACAAUUCUGCAGGCUGGAAGUCCAAGGUGGAUGGGCCGGAUCUGGUGAAGGCCUUCGUGCUGUAACCUAGCAGGGGGCUUCUGGUGGCAAGAGGGCAAGGGAUGCUAAUUCAAGUCCCUCUUCCUCUUCUUAUAAAGCCACCAGUCCUAGCAUGGGGACUCCUGAUGACCUUAUCUAAUCUCAGUUACCUCCCAAAGGCCCCACCUCCAGGUACCAUCAACAUAUGAAUUUGAGGAUUACAUUUCCGACACAUGAAGUUUGGGGAAUACUUCAAACCAUAGUGAUUAUCUAUAUGGCAAAAUUAAAUUUAGACUCAACAACAUAUCCCAAAAUCAGCUUUAGUUGGAUUAAAGACCUAAAUGAGAAAUCAAAAUUGUGCUCCUGUCAUCAUUUCAAGGAUAUACUUUCUUUUCCACAUUUUACCAUUUCUGAAAUUGUGAUUGAUUUUUUUAUAAUAAAUGUCAACUUAGACUCCGUGAUUCGUGAUAUAAAAUUUUUAGGAGACAAUACAGGAGAAUACGCUAUCAAAUUCUGAGUGAAAGGAUUUAUUAAACAAGACACAAGAAGCACUAACUAUAAAGGAAAAGACUGAUACAUUUAUCUACAUUGAAGUUAGGACUUCUUUAAAAGAGACCAUAAAAAAAGUAAAACAAAACAAAACAAAAAUAAGCACCAUUCCAGGAGAAUAUAUUUGCAACAUAUAUAAUCAACCCAAGAUUAGAAUCCAGAAUAUAUGAAGAACUCCUAUGAAUCAGUAAGUAAAAAUUUUGCAAUCAGUAGAAAAAUUAGCAAAAAAAAUGAAGAUGAAUUUCACAAAAAAUAAGCACAAAUGCCCAUAAACUUAUGAAAAGAUGUUUAAUUUCAUUAGUAAUGUCACACGCGUCCAUGUGAAGAGAUCACCAAACAGGCUUUGUGUGAGCAACAAGGCUGUUUAUCUCACCUGGGUGCAGAUGGGCUGAGUCCGAAAAAGGAGUCUGCAAAGGGUGGUGGGAUUAUCAUGACUUCUUAUAGGUUUGGGAUAGGUGUACAAGGUACAUUCUUAAGGGCGGGGGGAGAAUAUUACAAAGUACCUUCUUAAGGGCAGGGAGAAUAUUACAAAGUACCUUCUUAGGUAGGGAGUGGGGAGAAUAUAUCGUAUCAGGGUGGAGCAGAAACAAAUAACAAUGGUGGAAUGUCAUCAGUUAAGGCUAUUUUCACUUCUUUUGUGGAUCUUCAGUUGCUUCAGGCCAUCUGGAUUGUAUACGUGCAGGUGGCAGGGGAUAUGAUGGCUUAGCUUGGGCUCAGAGGCCUGACAAGUAAUCAGGAGAAAGUAAGUUAUUCACAAUAGCAAAGACUUGGAACCAACCCAAAUGUCCAUCAAUGAUAGACUGGAUGAAGAAAAUGUGGCACAUAUACACCAUGGAAUACUAUGCAGCCAUAAAAAAGGAUGAGUUCAUGUCCUUUGCAGGGACAUGGAUGAAGCUGGAAACCAUCAUUCGCAGCAAACUAUCGCAAGAACAAAAAACCAAACACCGCAUAUUCUCACUCAUAGGUGGGAACUGAACAAUGAGAACACUUGGACACAGGAAGGGGAACAUCACACACUGGGGCCUGUUGUGGGGUGGGAGGGGGGGAGGGAUAG